GAGGGACCUGCGUCCCAUCAGCUAGUUGGUGAGGUAACGGCUCACCAAGGCGACGACGGGUAGGGGACCUGAGAGGGUGGCCCCCCACAAUGGAACUGAAACACGGUCCAUACACCUACGGGUGGCAGCAGUAGGGAAUAUUGCACAAUGGGCGAAAGCCUGAUGCAGCAACGCCGCGUGCACGAUGAAGGCCUUCGGGUCGUAAAGUGCUUUUCUGCGAGAUGAGAAAGGACAGUAUCGUAGGAAUAAGUCUCGGCUAACUACGUGCCAGCAGCCGCGGUAAAACGUAGGAGGCGAGCGUUAUCCGGAUUCACUGGGCGUAAAGCGCGUGCAGGUGGUUCGGUAAGUUGGGCGUGAAAUCUCCCGGCUCAACUGGGAGAGGUCGUUCAAUACUACCGAACUUGAGAGCAGAAGAGGAAGAUGGAAUUCCCGGUGUAGUGGUGAAAUGCGUAGAUAUCGGGAGGAACACCAGUGGCGAAGGCGAUCUUCUGGUCCGUUUCUGACACUCAGACGCGACAGCUAGGGUAGUAAACGGGAUUAGAG
rnacentral:rRNA from 1 species